GAAAGCGUGGGGAGCAAACCGGAUUAGAUACCCGGGUAGUCCACGCUGUAAACGAUGAUUGCUAGGUUUUCGAGGCAUCGACCCCUCGUGAGCCGAAGUUAACGCGUUAAGCAAUCCGCCUGAGUAGUACGGCCGCAAGGCUAAAACUCAAAGAAAUUGACGGGGGACCGCACAAGCAGCGGAGCGUGUGGUUUAAUUCGAUGGUAAGCGAAGAACCUUACCUGGGUUUGACAUGUAAGUAGUACUGAACCGAAAGGGGAAGGACCCGCAAGGGAGCUUACACAGGUGUUGCAUGGUUGUCGUCAGCUCGUGCCGUGAGGUGUUGGGUUAAGUCCCGCAACGAGCGCAACCCUCUUCGUUAGUUACACUCUCUAACGAUACUGCCCCUAAAAGGGAGGAAGGUGGGGAUGACGUCAAAUCAUCAUGGCUCUUACACCCAGGGCUACACACACGCUACAAUGGCAAGUACAAACGGUCGCCAACCCGCGAGGGGGAGCCAAUCCGAUAAAACUUGUCUCAGUUGGGAUUGCAGGCUGAAAUUCGCCUGCAUGAACGUGGAGUUGCUAGUAAACGCAGGUCAGCAUACUGCGUUGAAUACGUUCCCGGUCCUUGUACACACCGCCCGUCACGUCAUGGAAGUUGGUAACACUUGAAGUCGUUGUGCUAACCGUUUUACGGAGGCAGACGCCGAGAGUGGGACUGAUGACUGGGACGAAGUCGUAACAAGGUAGCUGUAGCGGAAGCUGCGGCUG
rnacentral:rRNA from 1 species